rnacentral:lncRNA from 1 species
GUCUUGUCUGCCACCAUGUCAGGCAUGACUUUCACCUUCUGCCAUGAUUGUGAGGCCUCCCCAGCCAUGUGGAACUGUGAGUCCAUUAAACAUCUUUUCCUUUAUAAAUUACCCAGUCUCAGGUAUGUCUUUAUCAGCAGCAUGGAAAAGGACCAAUAUAGCCUCCCUCUGGAUUCUUGCUGAGCUUAAACUCAAUUAGUUAGAUCUUGUGCUCUUUCUUCUUGUUUAUGCUAUUGUCAAGACAGCUCUUUCCAAACUAUGCUUACACAGUUUCAUUUUAUUUGUUUGUU